rnacentral:rRNA from 1 species
AACGAACGCUGGCGGCAUGCCUAACACAUGCAAGUCGAACGAGACCUUCGGGUCUAGUGGCGCACGGGUGCGUAACGCGUGGGAACCUGCCCUUAGGUUCGGAAUAACUCCCCGAAAGGGGUGCUAAUACCGGAUAAUGUCUUCGGACCAAAGAUUUAUCGCCUUUGGAUGGGCCCGCGUUGGAUUAGCUAGUUGGUAGGGUAAAAGCCUACCAAGGCGACGAUCCAUAGCUGGUCUGAGAGGAUGAUCAGCCACACUGGGACUGAGACACGGCCCAGACUCCUACGUGAGGCAGCAGUGGGGAAUAUUGGACAAUGGGCGAAAGCCUGAUCCAGCAAUGCCGCGUGAGUGAUGAAGGCCUUAGGGUUGUAAAGCUCCUUUACCCGGGAUGAUAAUGACAGUACCGGGAGAAUAAGCGCCGGCUAACUCCGUG